UAGGGAAUCUUCCGCAAUGGGCGAAAGCCUGACGGAGCAACGCCGCGUGAGUGAUGAAGGUCUACGGAUCGUAAAACUCUGCUAUUAGGGAAGAACAAAUGUGUAAGUAACUAUGCACGUCUUGACGGUACCUAAUCAGAAAGCCACGGCUAACUACGUGCCAGCAGCCGCGGUAAUACGUAGGUGGCAAGCGUUAUCCGGGAUUAUUGGGCGUAAAGCGCGCGUAGGCGGUUUUUUAAGUCUGAUGUGAAAGCCCACGGCUCAACCGUAGGCGGUCAUUGGAAACUGGAAAACUUGAGUGCAGAAGAAGAAAGUGGAAUUCCAUGUGUAACGGUGAAAUGCGCAAAGCUAUGGGGAAACACCAGUGGCGAAAGCGACUUUCUGGUCUGUAACUGACACUGAUGUUCGAAAGCGUGGGGAUCAAACAGG
rnacentral:rRNA from 1 species